GCCCCCGAGUGGGCUCGACCCGUCGUUUGCGGCAGUUUUUUGGGGGCUAGCACACCAGCCGGCUAGCUUACAGCUCGCUAAGCCAGCCCGUUUAGAGACCGAUAUACAACGCGAGCUAGCGCGGCUAACUGCCCUGCUAGCUCUGCCGGGCUGGGUGUCCUCCCAAGCGGGGUGAAAAUAAAAAGCCUCACCGUGAAGGGGACGUCGUUCACGCUGCCCACCGAGUAGCAGCAGUCUCCCGGGUUCACGGCUCCCGUCAGCACCUGGUGCAGAUGCAUCUUCCCCGGGUAGUUCAGCAGCAGAAAGCGGCUGGGGAUUCCAUCGGCGGCGUUCAACGUCGUCCUCGGCCUGGCGGUGUCGUCCUGCUCCUCCUCCACGGGCGGCAGCAGGGGGAAGGGGGAACCGGUGCUCAAACCCCCUGAUUAAUGGGAUCUCGUCCCGGAACUGACAUCGAUUUAGUCGCGUGAAAACGAGCCGCCCGCUGUCAACACCAUGCCCGCGACCAGUCGUGGGAUCCGCGGAGGAUCUCUGCAGCGAACCUGACAUGCGCGUUCACGACCUUCUUCCAGGCACGACAGAAUAGAUGUAGAUCUGUGGCACCUAGAUCGGGAGGCGGCAGCCCCUGGAUUCCACUCGGUGCCUCGUUUGUUUGAAUUAAAGCAAAAACAUAUUUCA